rnacentral:rRNA from 1 species
AUUGAACGCUGGCGGCAGGCCUAACACAUGCAAGUCGAACGAGCGGCGGACGGGUGAGUAAUGUCUGGGAAACUGACUGAUGGAGGGGGAUAAAUACUGGAAACGGUAGCUAAUACCGCAUACCAUCAGAUGUGCCCAGAUGGGAUUAGCUCGUAGGUGAGGUAACGGCUCACCUAGGAGACGAUCCCUAGCUGGUCUGAGAGGAUGACCAGCAACACUGGAACGGAGACACGGUCCAGACUCCUACGUGAGGCAGCAGUGGGGAAUAUUGCACAAUGGGCGCAAGCCUGAUGCAGCCAGGCCGCGUGUAUGAAGAAGGCCUUCGGGUUGUAAAGUACUUUCAGCGGGGAGGCGUUACCCGCAGAAGAAGCACCGGCUAACUCCGUGCCAGCAGCCGCGGUAAUUC